rnacentral:lncRNA from 1 species
AAAUGUUUAAGAUUUGAAGAAGUCCAGAAGGUAUUUGUUUAAAUUUUUGCCUAAAAGGAAUGAGAAUAAAAUGUUUAUUAGAAAUGAUUGUAAUUGUUUUAAAACAAUUCAAUUACAACUAAUUUAUAUAAAGUGAAUUACAACUAAUUUAUAUGUAUUUCAGACAAACCAUAUAGGAAGAUUCGAUGUUAUAGCCAUGAAAAUUUACAACAGGCAAUUGCUGCAGUUCUAAGUGGAGUUUUGUCCCAGAAUAAAGCUUCUUUUGUUUAUGGUGUGCCACAAAAGACAAUUUCUAGGAGAAUUAGAAAAAUAAGAGAUCAAAAUACAACUUGAAACUCUUCACAAUUAAUUUUGAGCACGAAACUGAAAAAAAAACCUAGAAAAACUGAAGAAUGCAAAAAAAAAAAAAAAAAUGUAUUAGUUGCUGAUGGAGUUAUUUGAUGAUGAAAAAAAAUAUGCCUUUUGUAAAUAAUAAUGAUCACAAAGUCUGCUUGCUUGUACAUGUAUUUGGAAUAGUAUAAUAAAAAUAUAUAGCACUUUUUCAUUUUAUUUAAUUAUGGCUAGACUAGAUUUUGAACACUACUUUGACCAAAAGUUGGACAUCAAAAAGAUUAUGUACAGAAUCAAGAAUCAAAUAAUCAAGGAAAAUUGGCUCUUUUGAAAUGGAAAGAUGAUGUAAAUUUACAUAUCAGAUGCAUAUGGCUAUAUAAAAGUCCUUUGUUUUAUUGCUUAAAAAUGAUUUGGCUCUUUGAUUGAAUGUUUUUUUCUCUUGAUUGAUCAUAUAUUAUAU